CCGACUCUGGAAGGAACGUGAUGACCGCAUCGAGGAGCUAGAGAAUGAACGGAGAAGGCAUCAGGCCACCAAGGAGAGGUUGGCACUGGCAGAUGUAGAGUUGGCUUCCGCCAAAGAGGAAGUAAAGUCGGCCUAGGAAGCACUAAGUCGGACACAAGAGUAGAUCGUUGAUGAUUAUAAAGUAUCUGAGGAUUUCAAGAAUGA
rnacentral:lncRNA from 1 species